rnacentral:rRNA from 1 species
GAUGAACGCUGGCGGCGUGCCUAAUACAUGCAAGUCGAGCGAACAGACGAGGAGCUUGCUCCUCUGACGUUAGCGGCGGACGGGUGGGUAACACGUGGAUAACCUACCUAUAAGACUGGGAUAACUUCGGGAAACCGGAGCUAAUACCGGAUAAUAUAUUGAACCGCAUGGUUCAAUAGUGAAAGACGGUUUUGCUGUCACUUAUAGAUGGAUCCGCGCCGCAUUAGCUAGUUGGUAAGGUAACGGCUUACCAAGGCAACGAUGCGUAGCCGACCUGAGAGGGUGAUCGGCCACACUGGAACUGAGACACGGUCCAGACUCCUACGGGAGGCAGCAGUAGGGAAUCUUCCGCAGUGGGCGAAAGCCUGACGGAGCAACGCCGCGUGAGUGAUGAAGGUCUUCGGAUCGUAAAACUCUGUUAUUAGGGAAGAACAAAUGUGUAAGUAACUAUGCACGUCUUGACGGUACCUAAUCAGAAAGCCACGGCUAACUACGUG